GUAUAUCAUCGCCGGUGAAACUAGCAUAUCAAUAAGCGGAGGAAAAGAAACCAACAGGGAUUGCCCUAGUAACGGCGAGUGAAGCGGCAACAGCUCAAAUUUGAAAUCUGGCUUCGGCCCGAGUUGUAAUUUGCAGAGGAAGCUUUAGGCGCGGCACCUUCUGAGUCCCCUGGAACGGGGCGCCACAGAGGGUGAGAGCCCCGUAUAGUUGGAUGCCUAGCCUGUGUAAAGCUCCUUCGACGAGUCGAGUAGUUUGGGAAUGCUGCUCAAAAUGGGAGGUAAAUUUCUUCUAAAGCUAAAUACCGGCCAGAGACCGAUAGCGCACAAGUAGAGUGAUCGAAAGAUGAAAAGCACUUUGAAAAGAGGGUUAAAUAGCACGUGAAAUUGUUGAAAGGGAAGCGCUUGUGACCAGACUUGCGCCGGGCGGAUCAUCCGGUGUUCUCACCGGUGCACUCCGCCCGGCUCAGGCCAGCAUCGGUUCUCGCGGGGGGAUAAAGGCCCAGGGAACGUAGCUCCUCCGGGAGUGUUAUAGCCCGGGGCGUAAUGCCCUCGCGGGGACCGAGGACCGCGCUCUGCAAGGAUGCUGGCGUAAUGGUCACCAGCGACCCGUCUUGAAACACGGACCAAGGAGUCAAGGUUUUGCGCGAGUGUUUGGGUGUAAAACCCGCACGCGUAAUGAAAGUGAACGUAGGUGAGAGCUUCGGCGCAUCAUCGACCGAUCCUGAUGUAUUCGGAUGGAUUUGAGUAGGAGCGUUAAGCCUUGGACCCGAAAGAUGGUGAACUAUGCUUGGAUAGGGUGAAGCCAGAGGAAACUCUGGUGGAGGCUCGCAGCGGUUCUGACGUGCAAAUCGAUCGUCAAAUCUGAGCAUGGGGGCGAAAGACUAAUCGAACCAUUUAUUGGGGG
rnacentral:rRNA from 1 species